CCCUUCUCUUCUUCUUUCUCUCUUUGGCUUUCCUUUUUUUUCUGUUCGGUGUGUUUUUUCUUUUUGUUUGGGUUCAAUGGGAAGAGACGAAUAGAAGAUCGUGCUGACGUGGCAAAUAAUUAGGUCGGUUACUUGGGUUCAGAUUCGAUCUAGACUGAAACAAUUUGAAUUUCUUUUGAAAAUGGAUCUGAGCCAUGUUUGGUCGUACCAUAUUUUUUAUUUUUGGGUAAUUAUUAAAUUAUUUAUUACUAUGAGCUGAUUUCAAAAUUGAAAUCAAGAUAAGUUGGUAUACACUUUUUUAUUAUUAUUUAUUUAUCUUUUGCUAAGCCGGUUGGCUGGAUCGUGAUCUUGUGUCAAAUAUUUGUUAAUCUUUUAAAAAAAUAAAAGAUAAGUUUUUCAGUAAUUCUGUUAGAUUCAAUUUGUGGAGAGUUGGAACCAAAGAGUUAUUUUAUUUCUUUAUUUAUAUUUGCGAAACUGGAAAUGUUGUAAGGCGAUCUAAAACAUCCUUGUCUUACUCUUAUGUCAUUAUUAACUUAUUAAAAAAAAGGGAACUGAGGCUAAAGUAAUCUGGUUUGUUUAUUUAACUGAAUUUAACUAAGUUAGGUCAGCAAUUCAAUUGAUUAUUAUUACGAAAGAUGACAUAGGCAUGUCGUGGUUGAAUCACGGUGUAUUAGAAAAAAAGUGAAAAUAUUUUCUGUUAGACUCCGAUAAUUGUCUUGCUGAAUAGAUUUUGUUGCAUUUGUUUCUUACAAUGGCAAAUGCACAUGUCAUACUUCUUUAUAAUGGGAUUUUUCCUUCUUUAGAAAAGUUUGCAUUGUUCUGCAUCUGUGUAAAUUUGAUGGAUUUUGCAAGGUGGAAGUAUUUGUGAAGUUACUCGAAUGUUCUUUGAGUAAUGAGAGUAAAAAAAUUAAGUGUGUGUGCUCUAGAGUGAAAGCACACCGUAGAUACUGUUGUUAUACGCUUAAUAUAGGAACUAGGAAGUUUUGGAGAAAUGUAACUUCGGGUUUUUGCUUAGUGGUGUGGACUGAACCCGAACUUCUUGGUUCCAUGGUUCUUCUAGGUGAGAAUACAGGUAUAUUAGCAGCCAAACUCUUUGUGGAAGAUGUUCUCAAUCAUGGCAGUCAUAUUCUAGAUUCAAGAAAUUCCUGGAUAGUGUAUCAGCGGGAAAUAUGAUAUUGCAACUGUAACUCUGAAAUCACAUAGCUGUAAGAAUGUGUUGCACACAUCAUUACCGUAUUUUGGACAUGGCUCUUUGACUACUAUUAUUCAUUUAUUCUUACCCAUAUCACUUAAAUAGUUAAAUUAAUAAUUAAAUUACUCUUAUAUACUGCUUAUUAGUUAUUACCUUGUAAAAAAAGAGGUAAUCAGAAAACCUUAAUUGUGAGAGAUACUUGUUAGAAGGGUAUGAUGGUAUGUACAAUUUUUCAGAAGUAGAAAUCCAGGAUAUGUUGCAUUUGGACUCUAGUCUUUUGUUUAGAGUAAUUGUGAAAUUAGUUUCCAACUUAAAAAUGUUGGGUGUGACAUUGCUUCUUGGUUGCAAUCUUGUUCAUGUCUUGUAGCCAAUGACAUGACUAUGCUUAUUUUGUCAUUUACCAUCAUAAUUAACACAAGUUUGCAUUAUUGCAUAAAA